ACUAGCUAAAUGCUUGUGAUUCAAUUCAAACUAUGAAUAAUAGUGUGUGUGAGGUUAGAUACCUAUUCCAAAUGACGAAAAAUUGAUUUUGGGUUCCAAUAUUCGAGUCAUUCUCCAAUCAAAGUUCUGGACAAAAACUUAUGUGUGUUUUACCAAAAUAACCAUACAAAAGUUAAAGUUCAUCCAAGUGUUGAAAAAGAAGAAGACCUCAUGGAGCAAAUUAAGCUCAGAGCGAGGAAGGACCUUACCCUAGACCUCGCAUAGCGAGCUACCCCCUGGCCUUCGCGGUGCGAGCCCCUUCCUCUCUCAUUAGAUAUAGAUGCUAGAGAUCAUCAACAGACACUCCAUUGAAGAUCCAUUCCCUUUUCAGAUAGUGGUGAGAUCUUCUUGCUUUUGGAGGGAUCAUGUUUAUUCAUUUAUCAUUUUGAGUGUCAUUUCUUUUCCUUUUGAGGUAUCCGUGAGCUUGUCUCGACAUCUUCUUGAUAGUUGAUAGAGGCUUCAUAGACCUAGAUGGAGUAGAUUGGAGUUGUCCUUUCUUUGAGUCUAUUUUUGAGAAAACCUUUACUUACGAUUGCGAGUUGACAUUUUAGGAUUGUUUAUUUAAACUACUCUUUAUUUGA